rnacentral:rRNA from 1 species
UACGUAGGUGUCGAGCGUUGUCCGGAUUUAUUGGGCGUAAAGAGCCCGCAGGCGGCUUGGCAAGUUUGAGGUGAAAUCUCCCGGCUUAACUGGGAGGGGGCCUCGAAAACUGCCAGGCUUGAGGCAUGGAGAGGGAUGCGGAAUUCCCGGUGUAGUGGUGAAAUGCGUAGAUAUCUGGAGGAACACCGGUGGCGAAGGCGGCAUCCUGGACCGACAUUGACGCUGAGGCGCGAAAGCCAGGGGAGCAAACGGG